AUAACAGUUAGAAAUGACUGCUAAUACCGCAUAAGCGCACAGUGUCGCAUGACACAGUGUGAAAAACUCCGGUGGUAUGAGAUGGACCCGCGUCUGAUUAGCUAGUUGGUGAGGUAACGGCCCACCAAGGCGACGAUCAGUAGCCGACCUGAGAGGGUGAUCGGCCACAUUGGGACUGAGACACGGCCCAAACUCCUACGGGAGGCAGCAGUGGGGAAUAUUGCACAAUGGGGGAAACCCUGAUGCAGCGACGCCGCGUGAAGGAAGAAGUAUUUCGGUAUGUAAACUUCUAUCAGCAGGGAAGAUAAUGACGGUACCUGACUAAGAAGCCCCGGCUAACUACGUGCCAGCAGCCGCGGUAAUACGUAGGGGGCAAGCGUUAUCCGGAUUUACUGGGUGUAAAGGGAGCGUAGGCGGUCUGACAAGUCAGAAGUGAAAGCCCGGGGCUCAACUCCGGGACUGCUUUUGAAACUGCCGGACUAGAUUGCAGGAGAGGUAAGUGGAAUUCCUAGUGUAGCGGUGAAAUGCGUAGAUAUUAGGAGGAACACCAGUGGCGAAGGCGGCUUACUGGACUGUAAAUGACGCUGAGGCUCGAAAGCGUGGGGAGCAAACAGGAUUAGAUACCCUGGUAGUCCACGCCGU
rnacentral:rRNA from 1 species